AUGAGUCGACCUGAUGGGAUCAACAUCCCCGACGGCAAGUUCUACCUUGGAGAUGCUGGCUAUGCAUGUCGGCCGGGUAUUCUUCCACCCUUCAGGAAAACAAGGUACCAUCUCAACGAGUUCUCUGGUAGGAACUUUCCUAGGACUGCACAGGAUUUGUUUAAUCUCAGACACUCCAGCCUUAGAGUAACUGUUGAGAGGGCAUCUGGAGCUCUGAAGAAUAGGUUUAAGAUCCUGGAAUAG
rnacentral:rRNA from 1 species